GCUUGUCUCAAAGAUUAAGCCAUGCAUGUCUAAGUACAAGCCUCAGUAAGGUGAAACUGCGAAUGGCUCAUUAAAUCAGUUAUCAAAUACGUGAUGGUCGCCUACUACAUGGAUAACCGUAGUAAUUCUAGAGCUAAUACAUGCACAAAGGCCCACUCACGUGGGUUGUGAUUAUUAGAUUCAAACCGGCCUCGUUCUGGUGAUUCAUAAUAAUUGGUCGAACCGCAUGCCCUUGUGGUGGCGGUGAUUCAUCCUUAUUUCUGCCCUAUCAACUUUCGAUGGUAGGAUAGAGGC
rnacentral:rRNA from 1 species